rnacentral:rRNA from 1 species
GAUGAACGCUGGCGGCGUGCCUAAUACAUGCAAGUCGAGCGAACAGACGAGGAGCUUGCUCCUCUGACGUUAGCGGCGGACGGGUGAGUAACACGUGGAUAACCUACCUAUAAGACUGGGAUAACUUCGGGAAACCGGAGCUAAUACCGGAUAAUAUAUUGAACCGCAUGGUUCAAUAGUGAAAGACGGUUUUGCUGUCACUUAUAGAUGGAUCCGCGCCGCAUUAGCUAGUUGGUAAGGUAACGACUUACCAAGGCAACGAUGCGUAGCCGACCUGAGAGGGUGAUCGGCCACACUGGAACUGAGACACGGUCCAGACUCCCACGGGAGGCAGCAGUAGGGAAUCUUCCGCAAAGGGCGAAAGCUUGACGGAGCAACGCCGCGUGAGUGAUGAAGGUCUUCGGAUCGUAAAACUCUGUUAUUAGGGAAGAACAAAUGUGUAAGUAACUAUGCACGUCUUGACGGUACCUAAUCAGAAAGCCACGGCUAACUACGUG